rnacentral:rRNA from 1 species
GGAAUUUUGGACAAUGGGCGCAAGCCUGAUCCAGCCAUUCCGCGUGCAGGAUGAAGGCCCUCGGGUUGUAAACUGCUUUUGUACGGAACGAAAAGCCCUCUUCUAAUACCAGAGGGUCAUGACGGUACCGUAAGCAUAAGCACCGGCUAACUACGUGCCAGCCGCCGCGGUAAUACGUAGGGUGCAAGCGUUAAUCGGAAUUACUGGGCGUAAAGCGUGCGCAGGCGGUGAUGUAAGACAGAUGUGAAAUCCCCGGGCUCAACCUGGGAACUGCAUUUGUGACUGCAUCGCUGGAGUGCGGCAGAGAGGGAUGGAAUUCCGCGUGUAGCAGUGAAAUGCGUAGAUAUGCGGAGGAACACCGAUGGCGAAGGCAAUCCCCUGUGCCUGCACUGACGCUCAUGCACGAAAGCGUGGGGAGCAAAC